rnacentral:rRNA from 1 species
AAAAAGCGGAGGAAAAGAAACCAACAGGGAUUGCCUCAGUAACGGCGAGUGAAGCGGCAAAAGCUCAAAUUUGAAAUCCCCCGGGAAUUGUAAUUUGAAGAGAUUUGGGUCCGGCCGGCAGGGGUUAAGUCCACUGGAAAGUGGCGCCACAGAGGGUGACAGCCCCGUGAACCCCUUUAACGCCUUCAUCCCAGAUCUCCAAGAGUCGAGUUGUUUGGGAAUGCAGCUCUAAGUGGGUGGUAAAUUCCAUCUAAAGCUAAAUACCGGCGAGAGACCGAUAGCGAACAAGUACAGUGAUGGAAAGAUGAAAAGCACUUUGAAAAGAGAGUGAAAAAGUACGUGAAAUUGUUGAAAGGGAAGGGCUUGCAAGCAGACACUUAACUGGGCCAGCAUCGGGGCGGCGGGGAGCAAAACCACUGGGGAAUGUACCUUUCGAGGAUUAUAACCCCGGUCCUUACUCCCUCACCAUCCCGAGGCCUGCAAUCUAAGGAUGCUGCGGUAAUGGUUGCAAGUCGCCCGUCUUGAAA